CCCUUAGACGUUCUGGGCCGCACGCGCGCUACACUGAACAGUUCAACAAGUCUUAACCUUGGCCGAUAGGUCUGGGUAAUCUUUGAACGCUGUUCGUGAUUGGGAUAGACCUUUGCAAUUAUGGGUCUUCAACGAGGAAUUCCUAGUAAACGCAAGUCAUCAGCUUGCAUUGAUUACGUCCCUGCCCUUUGUACACACCGCCCGUCGCACCUACCGAUUGAAUGGUCCGGUGAAAUCUCGGGACGGCGGCUUGGUCGCUUGCGUCCGACUGCUGAAACUUGAUUAAACCAUNUNAUUUAGNGGAAGGUGAANUCGUANCA
rnacentral:rRNA from 1 species